rnacentral:rRNA from 1 species
GAUGAACGCUGGCGGCGUGCUUAACACAUGCAAGUCGAACGAUGAAGCUCAGCUUGCUGGGUGGAUUAGUGGCGAACGGGUGAGUAACACGUGAGUAACCUGCCCUUAACUCUGGGAUAAGCCUGGGAAACUAGGUCUAAUACCGGAUAGGAGCGCCUACCGCAUGGUGGGUGUUGGAAAGAUUUAUCGGUUUUGGAUGGACUCGCGGCCUAUCAGCUUGUUGGUGAGGUAAUGGUUCACCAAGGCGACGACGGGUAGCCGGCCUGAGAGGGUGACCGGCCACACUGGGACUGAGACACGGCCCAGACUCCUACGGGAGGCAGCAGUGGGGAAUAUUGCACAAUGGGCGAAAGCCUGAUGCAGCGACGCCGCGUGAGGGAUGACGGCCUUCGGGUUGUAAACCUCUUUCAGUAGGGAAGAAGCGAAAGUGACGGUACCUGCAGAAGAAGCACCGGCUAACUACGUG